UACGGAGGAUGCGAGCGUUAUCCGGAUUUAUUGGGUUUAAAGGGUGCGUAGGCGGGAUGCCAACUCAGCGGUAAAAAUGCGGUGCUCAACGCCGUCGAGCCGUUGAAACUGGCGUUCUUGAGUGGGCGAGAAGUAUGCGGAAUGCGUGGUGUAGCGGUGAAAUGCAUAGAUAUCACGCAGAACUCCGAUUGCGAAGGCAGCAUACCGGCGCCCUACUGACGCUGAGGCACGAAAGCGUGGGUAUCGAACAGG
rnacentral:rRNA from 1 species